UACGGAGGGUGCGAGCGUUGUCCGGAAUCAUUGGGCGUAAAGGGCGCGUAGGUGGCCCGGUCAGUUCGUGGUGAAAGCGCGGGGCUCAACCCUGCGUCGGCCAUGAAUACUGCCGCGGCUGGAGCACUGUAGAGGCAGGCGGAAUUCCGGGUGUAGCGGUGGAAUGCGUAGAGAUCCGGAAGAACACCGGUGGCGAAGGCGGCAUCCUGGACCAAUUCUGACGCUGAGGAGCGAAAGCCAGGGGAGCAAACAGG
rnacentral:rRNA from 1 species